GCUGCCAGAGUCACUUUCUAAGCCGGCCAGCAGCGAGCUUCCACAUCCCAUUUUUCACUUCAUUCUCUGACGUGCCUAAAUUUCUCCAAAAUGAGCCUCAGAAGAUCCAACAUGCAGCGGAUUCCAUCUACCCACAUCUCCAUGACCCGCUCCACACCCCAGUACCGGGCUGCAAGCAUUCAUGGUGGUGCUGGUGGACAAGGCACUCGCAUCUCCUCUGUCUCCGCAUCUUCCCUGCGCUCUGGUGCACCAAUCACCUCUUCUUCAUCUGCCUUCAAGCUGAGCAGUGGAAUGGGUGGAGGUAUGGGUGCAGGUUUUGGUGGUGCUGGCUCAUCCAUGGCAACUAGUGGUGGUGCCGGUACUGGGAUCCUGGGCAACGAGAAGGGAGCCAUGCAAAACCUCAACGAUCGCCUGGCCAACUACCUGGAGACAGUGAGGAACCUGGAACAGGCCAACAAGGAGCUGGAGAUGAAGAUCAGGGACGCCCUGGAGAAGGGUGGGCCCGACGUGAGAGACUACAGCAAGUAUGAGCCCAUCAUUGAAGACCUACGCAAACAGAUCUUCGAUAAGAUAGCGGAGAACGCGCGUUUCGUGCUCCAGAUCGACAAUGCCCGUCUUGCUGCUGAUGACUUCAAAGUAAAAUUCGACAAUGAGAUGGCAAUCCGCCAGUCUGUGGAGGCUGACAUUGCUGGCCUGAAGAAAGUCAUCGAUGACACCAACAUGACCAGGAUGAACAUCGAGAGUGAGAUUGAAGCUGUGAGGGAGGAGCUCGCCUUCCUAAAGAAAAACCAUGAGAACGAAGUGAUGGAGCUGAGGAGUCAGAUCUCCUUGUCAGGCGUGCAAGUGGACGUAGACGCUCCCAAAGGUCAGGACCUUGCACAGAUCAUGGAGGACAUGAGGUCCAACUAUGAGAAGAUUGCUGUGAAGAAUGCAGAGGACCUCAAACGAUGGCAUGAAAAUCAGAUUGCAGAUGUACAGGUGCAGGUAUCACAGAACACAGAAGCUCUCCAGGGGGCCCAAAUGGAGAAGAGUGACCAAUCCAGACAGAUACAGACCCUGGAAAUUGAACUUGCAUCACAACAGAGCUUAAAAGCCUCCUUAGAGGACACACUGCGCAGCGUAGAGCAACGAAACAACAUAGAAAUGGAGAAGUAUAAUGCCAUUAUCAUUCGCUUGGAGGAGGAGCUGACCAACCUGCGUGCAAACAUCCAGCAACAGACCCACGAGUACGAGGCACUCCUCAACAUGAAGAUGAAACUGGAGGCAGAGAUUGACACCUACAAGUGCCUGCUGGAUGGUGGAGACUUCAAGUAAGAGUUAUGAAGAGGUGGAAGAGAAAAACAGAUUGAGGCAAGGUGAUGAUGGUGGUGGAGGCUCCAGGAUGCACUAGAUGAGCUUGCCACAAGCUAAUCUGGAACAAAGGAUCUGGGACCAUCCCAGCAAUUAAAGCAAAGCAACCCACAACUAUCAAUUAUGGAAAAAAUGUCCUGCUGGUCCAAACAACUGAAGCCUUUUUUGAACCAAGACCAUGUAUCAAAUGCAAUUCUGAAUAAAGGCAUUCUUCCACACCACAGCAAAACAGGCAGGGCUGUUUCAAAAGCAACCACUGCCUGACCUGGCAGCACAAUAAAAAUGAAUAAAAACCGCUUGUUGACCCACA